rnacentral:rRNA from 1 species
AACGAACGCUGGCGGCGCGCUUAACACAUGCAAGUCGAACGCAUGCUUGAUCUUCGGGUUGGGCAUGAGUGGCGGACGGGUGAGUAACGCGUGGGAACCUGCCCUGAGGUUCGGGACAACCGUGGGAAACUGCGGCUAAUACCGGAUAUCUCCUUUGGGAGAAAGACUUGUCGCCUUGGGAGGGGCCCGCGUCGGAUUAGCUUGUUGGUGGGGUAACGGCCUACCAAGGCAUCGAUCCGUAGCUGGUCUGAGAGGAUGAUCAGCCACACUGGGACUGAGACACGGCCCAGACUCCUACGGGAGGCAGCAGUGGGGAAUCUUGGACAAUGGGGGCAACCCUGAUCCAGCGACGCCGCGUGGGUGACGAAGGCCUCGG